UCUCCGGUGGCCUAGUGGUUAGAGCGACCACUUCAGAUGCAGGAGAAAGUGGGUUUGAACCCCGUUCGAGUAA